AACGCACCUUGCGCUCCUUGGUAUUCCGAGGAGCAUGCCUGUUUGAGUGUCAUUAAAUUCUCAACUCUUCAAUGGUUUUCAUAAUUGUUGACUGAGCUUGGAUGUGAGGGUUUUGCCGGCUUCUUAGUUGAGUCUGGCUCCCUUGAAAUGCAUUAGCGCAGCUUUGCCAGUCCGCUUCAGGUGUGAUAAUCUAUCUACUCCUUUAGUGACAAGCAUAAAUAGCUUUGUGCUUCCAACCGUCUCCUUGUGAGACAGCAUUUUUUUAAACUUGACCUCAAAUCAGGUAGGACUACCCGCUGAACUUAA
rnacentral:misc_RNA from 1 species